CCCGCUGAACUUAAGCAUAUCAAUAAGCGGAGGAAAAGAAACUAACAAGGAUUCCCCUAGUAACUGCGAGUGAAGCGGGAAAAGCUCAAAUUUAAAAUCUGGCGGUCUCGCGGCCGUCCGAGUUGUAAUCUGGAGAAGCGUCUAUCCGCGUCGGACCGUGUACAAGUCUUCUGGAAGGGAGCGUCGUAGAGGGUGAGAAUCCCGUCUUUGACACGGACAACCGAUGCUCUUGUGAUGCGCUCUCGAAGAGUCGAGUUGUUUGGGAAUGCAGCUCAAAAUGGGUGGGAAAUUCCAUCUAAAGCUAAAUAUUGCCGAGAGACCGAUAGCGAACAAGUACCGUGAGGGAAAGAUGAAAAGCACUUUNGGAAAGAGAGUUAAACAGUACGUGAAGUUGUGUAAAGGGAAACGUUUGAAGUCAGUCGCGUCGCGCGAGACUCAACCUUGCGCUCGCAGCUCGGUGCACUUCUCGGUUGACGGGUCAGCAUCAAUGUCGACCGCCGGACAAAGGUUGAGAGAAUGUGGCAUCCUUCGAGAUGUGUGAUAGCCCUUGACUCACAUACGGCGAUUGGGACUGAGGAACUCGGCGCCUCGCGCGUCCAGGAUGCUGGCAUAAUGGCUUUAAGCGACCCGUCUUGAAACACGG
rnacentral:rRNA from 1 species